CUUACUCCCUCCCGAUCGCUAACAGGGAGAAAAGGCGGUGACAAUCCCGCACAAGGUACAGCACCCUAUUUUCAAACGGAACUACGGUUUUCUCCCGUGGCUACAUGUGUACACAAGAAGUAUGUGAUCAUUUGUGAUGAAGACUGCUUUCGUGUGCACACGAAAUGGAAUGGAAUCAACCAAAAUAACACUUUCCUUAGAAAUACAGAAUGUUUCGAAAUUAUUCAAAUCCUUCUAUUUGCUCAUGUGGCAUGCCAUCUUCAAUUCAGACCACACAUUUUUCAUUGGGUUUGUAUUGAGAUGGUCAUUAGACAACAGCAAUCCCCGGUCGGGUAACCAUUUCAUGCUUAAUUUAGAGGUAUGCUUUCAUUCAUUGUGUUACUGAAAGACCAGUUUGUGGCAAGGUUCUUGGCGAAUGUCUUGGUAUUUGCUGAUGUUCAUGAUACCACUGACCUCACCAGGUCACGUAGGUGCAAAACAUUGUUUCUGUUACCAAGCGACUUAGCCUGACAUUGUAACCAUGUCACGUAUCACAUAACACACAGAAUGGCAGGAAGUUGUUUUAAUUGUAUAUAUUGCUCUAUGCAACAGAUAAACUUCAGCAUACUUGAGAUUCACAUUGUUACUGUGUCUAUCAUCACAAAAGUCUAAUUCAUGAAACAUCUCACAUCCAUUUUAUGUUUUUACAUCCCUCUUUAUUAUUUGCAUCAAUUAAAUGGGUGAGCACAUUCAGUGACGUGCCAGGGGCUUGAGCAAUUCCUUUAUGUCAAUAAUUAGUUUAAUUAAAAU